rnacentral:rRNA from 1 species
AUUGAACGCUGGCGGCAGGCCUAACACAUGCAAGUCGAGCGGUAGCACAGAGAGCUUGCUCUCGGGUGACGAGCGGCGGACGGGUGAGUAAUGUCUGGGAAACUGCCUGAUGGAGGGGGAUAACUACUGGAAACGGUAGCUAAUACCGCAUAAUGUCGCAAGACCAAAGUGGGGGACCUUCGGGCCUCAUGCCAUCAGAUGUGCCCAGAUGGGAUUAGCUAGUAGGUGGGGUAACGGCUCACCUAGGCGACGAUCCCUAGCUGGUCUGAGAGGAUGACCAGCCACACUGGAACUGAGACACGGUCCAGACUCCUACGGGAGGCAGCAGUGGGGAAUAUUGCACAAUGGGCGCAAGCCUGAUGCAGCCAUGCCGCGUGUGUGAAGAAGGCCUUCGGGUUGUAAAGCACUUUCAGCGGGGAGGAAGGCGUUAAGGUUAAUAACCUUGGCGAUUGACGUUACCCGCAGAAGAAGCACCGGCUAACUCCGUGCCAGCAGCCGCGGUAAUACGGAGGGUGCAAGCGUUAAUCGGAAUUACUGGGCGUAAAGCGCACGCAGGCGGUCUGUCAAGUCGGAUGUGAAAUCCCCGGGCUCAACCUGGGAACUGCAUUCGAAACUGGCAGGCUAGAGUCUUGUAGAGGGGGGUAGAAUUCCAGGUGUAGCGGUGAAAUGCGUAGAGAUCUGGAGGAAUACCGGUGGCGAAGGCGGCCCCCUGGACAAAGACUGACGCUCAGGUGCAAAAGCGUGGGGAGCAAACAGGAUUAGAUACCCUGGUAGUCCACGCCGUAAACGAUGUCGAUUUGGAGGUUGUGCCCUUGAGGCGUGGCUUCCGGAGCUAACGCGUUAAAUCGACCGCCUGGGGAGUACGGCCGCAAGGUUAAAACUCAAAUGAAUUGACGGGGGCCCGCACAAGCGGUGGAGCAUGUGGUUUAAUUCGAUGCAACGCGAAGAACCUUACCUGGUCUUGACAUCCACAGAACUUAGCAGAGAUGCUUUGGUGCCUUCGGGAACUGUGAGACAGGUGCUGCAUGGCUGUCGUCAGCUCGUGUUGUGAAAUGUUGGGUUAAGUCCCGCAACGAGCGCAACCCUUAUCCUUUGUUGCCAGCGGUCCGGCCGGGAACUCAAAGGAGACUGCCAGUGAUAAACUGGAGGAAGAUGGGGAUGACGUCAAGUCAUCAUGGCCCUUACGACCAGGGCUACACACGUGCUACAAUGGCAUAUACAAAGAGAAGCGACCUCGCGAGAGCAAGCGGACCUCAUAAAGUAUGUCGUAGUCCGGAUUGGAGUCUGCAACUCGACUCCAUGAAGUCGGAAUCGCUAGUAAUCGUAGAUCAGAAUGCUACGGUGAAUACGUUCCCGGGCCUUGUACACACCGCCCGUCACACCAUGGGAGUGGGUUGCAAAAGAAGUAGGUAGCUUAACCUUCGGGAGGGCGCUUACCACUUUGUGAUUCAUGACUGGGGUG